GGAUUUCAAUCUCAUGGAAGAUCGUCCAAUAGAUAUAUCCAAAGUCCCAAGAGUUUUUGGUUGAUUUAAGGGAAGGAAGGAGUUUGUCUGCUUCUGAUUACAAGCUUGUUUUUUUUUCUUUCAAGUUUUUGGUUGAUUUAAGAGAAGAAAGGAGUCUGACUACUAUCAAGAAUCUAUUACACAUCCCGAUAAAGCCACGAUCUUCAGAAUCUUCAGUUUUUUGUACCAACAAGGUUUUGGUUUCCUCCAAUUUAGUUUUAGUUAAGGUUUUCAAUUCACUUGGACUAUUAAUUUUGCAGGUUUUCCCAAAAUUUUCAAAUAUGUGCAGUACAAUUGGAUGCAUCGUUCUCCUUAAAACAUUUGAUAUACUGCAGCAUAUUUCACCCAGAAAAAAGUAUGCCCUAACUGCCACCAUUAAUGGAUAGAGAAUCACCAUUAAUGGUAACGAGAACUGGGUCUUUUAGUUUUGUGUACCUUAGUUCUACUUAGGUUAUGAAACUAGAGUGAACAAUUCCUUACAUUGGAAUCAUUUAUUAUUGAGGUCACGAAUAUUUGGAAAAUGUGACAUUGCCAACACCAUUGUGAAUCGGUCCGUAAUAAAACUGGAGAGAUGA